GACGAACGCUGGCGGCGUGCUUAACACAUGCAAGUCGAACGAAGAGCGAUGGAAGCUUGCUUCUAUCAAUCUUAGUGGCGAACGGGUGAGUAACGCGUAAUCAACCUGCCCUUCAGAGGGGGACAACAGUUGGAAACGACUGCUAAUACCGCAUACGAUCUAAUCUCGGCAUCGAGGAUAGAUGAAAGGUGGCCUCUACAUGUAAGCUAUCACUGAAGGAGGGGAUUGCGUCUGAUUAGCUAGUUGGAGGGGUAACGGCCCACCAAGGCGAUGAUCAGUAGCCGGUCUGAGAGGAUGAACGGCCACAUUGGGACUGAGACACGGCCCAGACGCCUACGGGAGGCAGCAGUGGGGAAUCUUCCGCAAGGGACGAAAGUCUGACGGAGCAACGCCGCGGGAGUGAUGACGGCCUUCGGGUUGUAAAGCUCUGUUAAUCGGGACGAAAGGCCUUCUUGCGAAUAGUGAGAAGGAUUGACGGUACCGGAAUAGAAAGCCACGGCUAACUACGUG
rnacentral:rRNA from 1 species